AUUGAACGCUGGCGGCAGGCCUAACACAUGCAAGUCGAGCGGAGCGGCGGACGGGUGAGUAAUGCCUAGGAAUGUGCCUGGUCGUUGGGGAUGACGUACGGAAACGGGCGCUAAUACCGCAUACUAGCAGUUGAGCCUAGGUGGGAUUAGCUAGUUGGUGGGGUAAGGGCUUACCAAGGCGACGAUCCGUAACUGGUCUGAGAGGAUGAUCAGUCACACUGGAACUGAGACACGGCCCAGACUCCUACGGGAGGCAGCAGUGGGGAAUAUUGGACAAUGGGCGAAAGCCUGAUGCAGCCAUGCCGCGUGUGUGAAGAAGGCCUUCGGAUUGUAAAGCACUUUAAGUUGGGAGGCGUUACCAACAGAAUAAGCACCGGCUAACUUCGUGCCAGCAGCCGCGGUAAUAC
rnacentral:rRNA from 1 species